rnacentral:rRNA from 1 species
AUUGAACGCUGGCGGCAGGCCUAACACAUGCAAGUCGAACGAGUGGCGGACGGGUGAGUAAUGUCUGGGAAACUGCCUGAUGGAGGGGGAUAACUACUGGAAACGGUAGCUAAUACCGCAUACCAUCAAAUGUGCCCAGAUGGGAUUAGCUUGGUGGUGGGGUAACGGCUCACCAAGGCGACGAUCCCUAGCUGGUCUGAGAGGCGAACCAGCCACACUGGGACUGAGACACGGUCCAGACUCCUACGGGAGGCAGCAGGGGGGAAUAGUGCACAAUGGGCGCAAGCCUGAUGAAGCCAUGCCGCGUGUAUGCAGAAGGCUGUCGGGUUUUAAAGUACUUUCAGCGGGGAGGCGUUACCCGCAGAAUAAGCACCGGCUAACUCCGUGCCAGCAGCCGCGGUAAUUC